rnacentral:rRNA from 1 species
CAUGCCUUACACAUGCAAGUCGAACGGCAGCAUGAUCUAGCUUGCUAGAUUGAUGGCGAGUGGCGAACGGGUGAGUAAUACAUCGGAACGUGCCCUGUAGUGGGGGAUAACUAGUCGAAAGAUUAGCUAAUACCGCAUACGACCUGAGGGUGAAAGUGGGGGACCGCAAGGCCUCAUGCUAUAGGAGCGGCCGAUGUCUGAUUAGCUAGUUGGUGAGGUAAAGGCUCACCAAGGCGACGAUCAGUAGCUGGUCUGAGAGGACGAUCAGCCACACUGGGACUGAGACACGGCCCAGACUCCUACGGGAGGCAGCAGUGGGGAAUUUUGGACAAUGGGCGAAAGCCUGAUCCAGCAAUGCCGCGUGUGUGAAGAAGGCCUUCGGGUUGUAAAGCACUUUUGUCCGGAAAGAAAUGGCUCUGGUUAAUACCUGGGGUCGAUGACGGUACCGGAAGAAUAAGGACCGGCUAACUACGUGCCAGCAGCCGCGGUAAUACGUAGGGUCCAAGCGUUAAUCGGAAUUACUGGGCGUAAAGCGUGCGCAGGCGGUUGUGCAAGACCGAUGUGAAAUCCCCGAGCUUAACUUGGGAAUUGCAUUGGUGACUGCACGGCUAGAGUGUGUCAGAGGGGGGUAGAAUUCCACGUGUAGCAGUGAAAUGCGUAGAGAUGUGGAGGAAUACCGAUGGCGAAGGCAGCCCCCUGGGAUAACACUGACGCUCAUGCACGAAAGCGUGGGGAGCAAACAGGAUUAGAUACCCUGGUAGUCCACGCCCUAAACGAUGUCAACUAGUUGUUGGGGAUUCAUUUCCUUAGUAACGUAGCUAACGCGUGAAGUUGACCGCCUGGGGAGUACGGUCGCAAGAUUAAAACUCAAAGGAAUUGACGGGGACCCGCACAAGCGGUGGAUGAUGUGGAUUAAUUCGAUGCAACGCGAAAAACCUUACCUACCCUUGACAUGCCACUAACGAAGCAGAGAUGCAUUAGGUGCUCG